GGAGCAGCAGGUUAGACACUGAUCUGGGAGCAGCAGGUUAGACACUGAUCUGGGAGCAGCAGGUUAGCGUUUGGUGCCAGCACGGAGGUUAGACACUGAUCUGGGAGCAGCAGGUUAGACACUGAUCUGGGAGCAGCAGGUUAGCGUUUGGUGCCAGCACGGAGGUUAGACACUGAUCUGGGAGCAGCAGGUUAGCGUUUGGUGCCAGUGGUUAGUUUGCUGAAGUGUAGUGUAUAUCUGUUGCUCGGGGUCACUGUCCCCCUUUAACACCAAGCAUGAGGCCUAAAGACAGCGAUGGACUCGGGUAACGAACUAAUGAAACAGAAGAGAACCCCGUUCUAUCUACGACGUGACCCGUUUUGUCCUGUCAUGGAAACUCAGUGGAUGAGGUCUUCGAGAUUUGAUCGAUGCUGUCUUUCCCCCCCCCCAAAAAAACGUCAAAACGUCCUUGUCACUAUUGUGUGAAGUCUUAUGGUGUUGUAAGUGUUGAUGAUGAUGAUGAUGAUGAUAUUGAUGAUCAUGAUAUUGAUGACGACGAUGAUCAUGAGAUUGAUGAUGAUGAUGAUGAUGAUAUUUAUGAUGAUGACGAUGAUGAUCAUGAUAUUGAUGA